UCUUUCCUCUGUUCUCGAGUACUGUCUCUUUGGCAACGGUUACGGCCAAGGAGAUCUUAGCUGCGUAAGCGGCAGAGGCUGGAGUCCCUGAUAAAUGGGUGUCUUUAUCGUUCUGCACAGGGUAUGGAGGAUUUGAGGCUCUUUCUUUCUCAGUGCCCCCCCCCAUCGUUGUCUCUUCCUGGACCGUUUUCUAAAUACUGCCUGUUUCUCAGAUGCUGGUCUCUGAAUUUCCCCCAGUGUUUCGUCAGUAACAUCCCUCUGUAAAGCACCCAACACCUCUUUCCUCCUGAUACGUUCACCUUCUCGUUUUACCUUUCUCCUGACCCGAGAGUCUCCCCGCUUGAAUUCUCCUGGGUCGGGAGAAAGUGAUUCUGUGGUGAGGCUGCGCGCCCUGGGAAGGACUCGGACUCCAUCCACGUCUUCACUUUAGUGCUGGGAGAACCAGUGCAAAGACCACAGAUGGGGAAGUCUGCCAGUUCUCGGCUGUGUGACCCUGAGUACACCUCACUGUUUUGAAUUCAUUUAUGAGACAGAGGACCAAUGAAGAAAAUUGAUCUUCCCAAAGUCACAGAAUAUUGGUGAAUCAGGUCAAGAGCACAGUAUUGUAACUGCAAAGACCAGGGAGGGAUUUUUAUAUAUUCUCAUAGGAAAGAGUUCAAAGAUCUUUACAACUCUUGCUGGAAAAUGCCCAAAGUCAAAAGAAGCCGGAAAGCUCCUCCAGAUGGUUGGGAAUUGAUCGAACCAACACUGGAUGAACUAGAUCAAAAGAUGAGAGAGGGUAAGUGGUAGUGUCCUAACUGGGUAGGUUGGAUAUAAGAGGCUCAGGUGCCUCCAACGAUAGACAGACAACUGUAAGAAAAGGCUCAUUGCCAACUGGUCAAGUACUGUUUACUUAUCAACUCAGAAUGCUCGAAAGUCCUGAAAUAGGAUUAUUAGUGUUCAUAUUUCUGAGAGAAAGAUCAGGUGUCUUUUUCACUUUAAGUGUUGUCUUGGAGACAGGGUCUCACUGUAUAAACUUUUUUCAUUACUUUUGACACAGUGUUUCUACAUAGAUCAGUAGAUCAGGCUGGCCCCAAGCUCAUGGAGAGCUGUCUGCCUGUGCCUCCCUAGCACAGAAAUUAAAGGUAUAACAAAUGCCCAGCUUCC